rnacentral:tRNA from 1 species
GGGCGGGUGGUGGAAUGGUAUACACGGGGGACUUAAAAUCCCCUGGCCUUACGGUCUUGCGGGUUCGAUCCCCGCCCCGCCUACCA